GCGAAUGGCUCAUUAAAUCAGCUAUGGUUUACUGGACCGUACCCGUUAAAUGGAUAACUGUAAUAACUCUAGAGCUAAUACAUGCAACUAUGCCCUGAACCGAAAGGCAAGGGGUGCACUUAUUAGAUCAGAAGCCAACCGGGUGUCGGUCGCAAGGCCGGCGCCUGUUGUCGUUUUGGUGACUCUGGAUAAUUGUUACAGAUCGCAGUCGGCCAUGAGUCGGCGACGGGUCCUCCAAAUGUCUGCCCUAUCAACUUUCGAUGGUAGGUGACCUGCCUACCAUGGUGAUAACGGGUAACGGGGAAUCAGGGUUCGAUUCCGGAGAGGGAGCCUGAGAAACGGCUACCACUUCCAAGGGAGGCAGCAGGCGCGCAAAUUACCCACUCCCAGCACGGGGAGGUGGUGACGAAAAAUACCGAUGCGGGACUCCCAAACGAGGCUCCGUAAUCGGAAUGAGUCGACUAUAAAUCCUUUAACGAGGAUCAAUUGGAGGGCAAGUCUGGUGCCAGCAGCCGCGGUAACUCCAGCUCCAAUAGCGUAUAUUAAAGUUGCUGCAGUUAAAAAGCUCGUAGUUGGAUCUCGGUAUCAUUGUUGCCUGCUGGCCUUAGAGGCGUUCGCUGGCCUAGCGGUGCAUGGGUGAGCCUGUGUAUCGUGUGGUCGGCAGCUUUGGGUCGGUGUGGCGGCGGUGACACCUUUCAGCCAUGUCUGUGGUGAAAUAUCCACAGGUGUAGGCGAGUGCCAGGCGGUGCCCUGCAACUGUGGGGUUCGUCGGCUUGUCUGCAUGCCUAUGGAUGCCCUUUAAAAGGUGUCUGUGGGCGGAUGGCACGUUUACUUUGAACAAAUUUGAGUGCUCAAACCAGGCCGAUGCUGCCUGAAAAGUUUUGCAUGGAAUAAUGGAAUAGGACUUCGGUUCUAUUUCGUUGGUUUUCGGAUCCGAAGUAAUGAUCAAAAGAGACAGGCGGGGACGUUUGUAUGGCUGCGCUAGAGGUGAAAUUCAUGGACCGUAGCCAGACAAACUAAAGCGAAAGCAUUCGUCAAGCAUGUUUUCAUUGGCCAUGAGCGAAAGUCAGAGGCUCGAAGACGAUCAGAUACCGUCCUAGUUCUGACCAUAAACGAUGCCAACUGACGAUCCGUGAUGGUAGCAUUUAAACCUUCCUCACGGGCAGUCCCCGGGAAACCAUUAAGUCUAUGGGUUCCGGGGGAAGUAUGGUUGCAAAGCUGAAACUUAAAGGAAUUGACGGAAGGGCACCACCAGGAGUGGAGCGUGCGGCUUAAUUUGACUCAACACGGGAAAACUCACCCGGGCCGGACACUAUGAGGAUUGACAGAUUGAAAGCUCUUUCUUGAUUUGGUGGUUGGUGGUGCAUGGCCGUUCUUAGUUGGUGGAGCGAUUUGUCUGGUUAAUUCCGAUAACGAACGAGACUCCAGCCUGCUAAUUAGUUCUCCUGUCCACUGUACUUGUGCAGGCGGGCGCUCGCCACAUCUGCCCUCCACGGUCGAACCACUGGUGGCAUUGUUCGUCGCUGCGCGGAGUACUAGCCGCGAGGUUGUUGCUCGGCGUAGUGUCGCUUAUGAUGCAUGUCCGGUGGGGUGACUUGGGUGGAUAGAGCAGUGUGCGAAUGGCUCAUUAAAUCAGCUAUGGUUUACUGGACCGUACCCGUUAAAUGGAUAACUGUAAUAACUCUAGAGCUAAUACAUGCAACUAUGCCCUGAACCGAAAGGCAAGGGGUGCACUUAUUAGAUCAGAAGCCAACCGGGUGUCGGUCGCAAGGCCGGCGCCUGUUGUCGUUCUGGUGACUCUGGAUAAUUGUUACAGAUCGCAGUCGGCCAUGAGUCGGCGACGGGUCCUCCAAAUGUCUGCCCUAUCAACUUGCGCUGAUUACGUCCCUGCCCUUUGUACACACCGCCCGUCGCUACUACCGAUUGAAUGGUUUAGUAAGGUCCUUGGAUUGGCGCCAUUGAAGCCGCAGGGCUCAGGCGGUGCUGACAAAACAACCGAUCUUGAUCAUUUAAAGGAAGUAAAAGUCGUACCAAGACGGGACUCCCAAACGAGGCUCCGUAAUCGGAAUGAGUCGACUAUAAAUCCUUUAACGAGGAUCAAUUGGAGGGCAAGUCUGGUGCCAGCAGCCGCGGUAACUCCAGCUCCAAUAGCGUAUAUUAAAGUUGCUGCAGUUAAAAAGCUCGUAGUUGGAUCUCGGUAUCAUUGUUGCCUGCUGGCCUUAGAGGCGUUCGCUGGCCUAGCGGUGCAUGGGUGAGCCUGUGUAUCGUGUGGUCGGCAGCUUUGGGUCGGUGUGGCGGCGGUGACACCUUUCAGCCAUGUCUGUGGUGAAAUAUCCACAGGUGUAGGCGAGUGCCAGGCGGUGCCCUGCAACUGUGGGGUUCGUCGGCUUGUCUGCAUGCCUAUGGAUGCCCUUUAAAAGGUGUCUGUGGGCGGAUGGCACGUUUACUUUGAACAAAUUUGAGUGCUCAAACCAGGCCGAUGCUGCCUGAAAAGUUUUGCAUGGAAUAAUGGAAUAGGACUUCGGUUCUAUUUCGUUGGUUUUCGGAUCCGAAAGUAAUGAUCAAAAGAGACAGGCGGGGACGUUUGUAUGGCUGCGCUAGAGGUGAAAUUCAUGGACCGUAGCCAGACAAACUAAAGCGAAAGCAUUCGUCAAGCAUGUUUUCAUUGGCCAUGAGCGAAAGUCAGAGGCUCGAAGACGAUCAGAUACCGUCCUAGUUCUGACCAUAAACGAUGCCAACUGACGAUCCGUGAUGGUAGCAUUUAAACCUUCCUCACGGGCAGUCCCCGGGAAACCAUUAAGUCUAUGGGUUCCGGGGGAAGUAUGGUUGCAAAGCUGAAACUUAAAGGAAUUGACGGAAGGGCACCACCAGGAGUGGAGCCUGCGGCUUAAUUUGACUCAACACGGGAAAACUCACCCGGGCCGGACACUAUGAGGAUUGACAGAUUGAAAGCUCUUUCUUGAUUUGGUGGUUGGUGGUGCAUGGCCGUUCUUAGUUGGUGGAGCGAUUUGUCUGGUUAAUUCCGAUAACGAACGAGACUCCAGCCUGCUAAUUAGUUCUCCUGUCCACUGUACUUGUGCAGGCGGGCGCUCGCCACAUCUGCCCUCCACGGUCGAACCACUGGUGGCAUUGUUCGUCGCUGCGCGGAGUACUAGCCGCGAGGUUGUUGCUCGGCGUAGUGUCGCUUAUGAUGCAUGUCCGGUGGGGUGACUUGGGUGGAUAGAGCAGUGUCUGCUUCCGAGUACGGCGCGGGUGUCUACUUCUUAGAGGGACAAGCGGGAGAAGCCGCACGAAAUUGAGCAAUAACAGGUCUGUGAUGCCCUUAGAUGUCCGGGGCCGCACGCGCGCUACAAUGACGGUGGCAACGAGUCUGACCUUCUGGCCCGAAAGGGUUGGGUAAACUGGUCAAUCACCGUCAUGACAGGGAUCGGGGCUUGGAAUUGUUCCCCGUGAACGAGGAAUUCCUAGUAAGUGCAAGUCAUAAGCUUGCGCUGAUUACGUCCCUGCCCUUUGUACACACCGCCCGUCGCUACUACCGAUUGAAUGGUUUAGUAAGGUCCUUGGAUUGGCGCCAUUGAAGCCGCAGGGCUCAGGCGGUGCUGAGAAGACGACCGAACUUGAUCAUUUAGAGGAAGUAAAAGUCGUAACAAG
rnacentral:rRNA from 1 species